ACGAACGCUGGCGGCAUGCCUCACACAUGCAAGUCGAACGAGACCUUCGGGUCUAGUGGCGCACGGGUGCGUAACGCGUGGGAACCUGCCCUUAGGUUCGGAAUAACUCCCCGAAAGGGGUGCUAAUACCGGAUAAUGUCUUCGGACCAAAGAUUUAUCGCCUUUGGAUGGGCCCGCGUUGGAUUAGCUAGUUGGUAGGGUAAAAGCCUACCAAGGCGACGAUCCAUAGCUGGUCUGAGAGGAUGAUCAGCCACACUGGGACUGAGACACAGCCCAGACUCCUACGGGAGGCAGCAGUGGGGAAUAUUGGACAAUGGGCGAAAGCCUGAUCCAGCAAUGCCGCGUGAGUGAUGAAGGCCUUAGGGUUGUAAAGCUCUUUUACCCGGGAUGAUAAUGACAGUACCGGGAGAAUAAGCUCCGGCUAACUCCGUG
rnacentral:rRNA from 1 species